rnacentral:rRNA from 1 species
AACGAACGCUGGCGGCAUGCCUAACACAUGCAAGUCGAACGAGACCUUCGGGUCUAGUGGCGCAUGGGUGUGUCACGCGUGGGAAGCUGCACUUAGGUAUGGAAUAACUCUCUGACAGGGGUGCUAAUACCGGAUAAUGUCUUCGAACAAAAGAUUUAUCGCCUUUGGUUGGGCCCGCGUUGGAUUAGCUUGUUGGUAGGGUAAAAGCCUACCAAGGCGACGAUCCAUAGCUGGUCAGAGAGGAUGAUCAGCCACACUGGGACGGAGACACGGCCCGGACUCCUACGGGAGGCAGCAGUAGGGAAUAUUGGACAAACGGCGAAAGUCUAAUACGGCAAUGCCGCGUAAAUGAUGAAUGCCGUAGGAUAAAAAAACUCUUUUAACCGGGAGGAUAAUGACAGUACCGGAAGAAUAAACCCCGGCUAACUCCGUG